rnacentral:rRNA from 1 species
UACGAAGGGGGCUAGCGUUGUUCGGAAUUACUGGGCGUAAAGCGCACGUAGGCGGAUGUUUAAGUUAGGGGUGAAAUCCCAGGGCUCAACCCUGGAACUGCCCCUAAUACUGGGCAUCUAGAGUCCGAGAGAGGUGAGUGGAAUUCCGAGUGUAGAGGUGAAAUUCGUAGAUAUUCGGAGGAACACCAGUGGCGAAGGCGGCUCACUGGCUCGGUACUGACGCUGAGGUGCGAAAGCGUGGGGAGCAAACAGG